CACACACCUGCCACUUGAACGCCCCGCCCUGCACGCACCCGGGUGCAUACACAAGUCUUGAGCGCACACACGCGGAGGGGGAGGACGACACCCACACACACGAGGAAACCAAACCCAUCAACCAAAAGCUGAAGGAAGCGCCACGAAACAUAUCUAAAACGAUAAACCAACAACAGCAAAAAAAAACAUACGUCACACCACGCACAUCACACACACCUACGCCACAGCGACAGAAGGAAGGAACCAGAACAUCAAAGCAGCACACACACCCACAGACACACAGACAGACACACCACCCAAGAGAACGAAAAAAGGGGGAGGGGACCACCAAAGGAAAAGAAUAAAAGAAACAUAACCUUCUAUUUUGUAUUUAACCGUCUCUCUCUAUAUAUAUACUUCUCAGACUCUACGCACUUUUUUUUUGUUCUCUUUCCGUUGACAUACGCCUCUUUCUUUUCUCGGCCUUUCUCUCUCUCACUUUCUCUCGUAGCUUCCUCUUGUCCGCCAUCUCUCUUUGUCUGCCAGACUCUCUGUUUGCCUGGAGUUGUGGCUUCUCGCGGCACAGCUUACCUUUUUUUUCCUGUGCGUGUGCGUGUGAGUGUGAGUGCGCUUUUUUUCUUUGCUGGCGUGGCGCACACCUCUGUCUGCCUGCUUGUGCGUGUUUCUGCGUGUACCCAACCAGCACGCCCUUUUAUUGUUACUAGAAAAAGAAAACGAGGCAGGCAAAAUCGGCGUAGAGGGCAAGAAUACAAGGCGUCAGGGGACUGAACCGCGCGUGCGCACAUCCGUUGAGCACACAGCCAGACACCCCACCCCCCUCACACACGCAUAUACGGGCACACCCAUUUUUUGCUUCCUUCCCCCCUCUUUCCUACCUCUGAGCUCUCCUACUCGUUCUGUCGGUUUUGAUUUCUUUUUUUUUUGUUUUGCCGUCGUCUUUGCCAGAACUUACCUCCUCUCUACCUGUUUUGAGGGCCGUCACGCACACGCGCGCCAGUUUGCAACAAGCUUCUGCUGCUGCUGUUACUUGUGGAGAGAGGAAAAGAAACUUUGACUUGCAUCUUUCCGUGCUGAGCGUGUUGCUGCUGGCUGCUUUUGGUCUAGCGUUCUGUCUUCGAAGGAAGAGAAAUAACGAACCAAGCGCACGCACACACAUACACUAAAGAGGGAGACGGGUUACGGCUUUGCUGCACGCGCUGCGUCCCUCUUAACCCUCUCUUUCCUUUUUUUUUCGGUUUUCACGCUCUCUUCAUCUCCUCCAGGGUCACUCGUCCCUCCUUCCUUCCCUCUUAACCUUACACCCUUUCCUCCCUGUCUCGGGCGCGCGCUCUCUCUCCCUCUAUGAGCGUCACAAAUAUUGACUACUUUCGUUUCUUCUAUUGUCUUGUUUUUGUUCCUGUUUACUCGUGAGUCUGUGCAGCCUUUUUUUUUUGUUUUUGUUUUGCUCUUUGACCCCAUCAUCAUCAUCACUGUCCAUUUCUUUGUUUGCUUAUCCCUCCCCUCCCCCUCCUCCUCCUCCUUCUCUUGGUUGAGCAACCACCAAAAAAAAAAGAAAGCAGAGCAUACGGAAGAAGAAGCAAAGAAACAAACAGAAAAAAGGAAGCGGCGACAGCAAGAGACACCCCCCUCCCCCCACACACGCAGACACACACACACACACACACACGACUACACCUUGUCCGUCUCCUUCCCAUCACGCUCCACUUGCCACGAAGUGUAUGCGUCUUUGUAUGCCUGUGCCUUCGUUGUCUCUCUGCUCUCUCUAGCUUUUCUUUUAUAGUUCUUUAUAUAUAUUUUUUUUUUCUCCCUCUUUGCCCUCGUCAUCUCCGUCUCUCUAUGCAUCUUCCUCCUUCUUCCACGCCGACUGCAUCGCGCUCUUCUUCUUGUUUUGCUUUUUUUCUUUGCUUGUACGCCCCCCUCCCCCGUUUCCCUCUUGUACGUUCAAGAGAAAUAUAACACGAGAAGACGGCGAGAGAUCGAGGGAGAGAGAGACAGUGACGGCAAGCGGCCAGAACACGAACACGGACGCAUAUAUAUACAUAUAUAUAUUGCUAUAUACAUAAACAAUAUAUACACAAACAUACACACACACACACACACACAGCGCCACUCUCACUUUGGUUGAGUUUCUUUUUUCGCCUUUUCCUUUUUACGAUAAGGAUCGAAAAAAAAAAACGACGACGACAACAACAACAAAGAACCGCAAGAGAAAGGGGUAACGACAACCGUGGCAUUGUGAAGGAUACGAAAAGCCUACGUGCAACCGCCUGAGGGAGCGGCGGAGCGAUUCUUAUUGGCAUCCACAUCCUGUCCUACCUGAAGAAAGGUGAACAAAUACGAGCACCUCUUCCGUGCUUCAUUCUUUUUUUCCCCUUUUUUGCUGUACUGUGUGCUGCGUGUUUCUUUGUGCAUUUUUCUGUAUUUUUUCCACCUUUUCUUCAUCUGUGCCUCCGGCUCACGUGCACAACCUUACACGUCUCUCCCCUCUUCUCUCCGCCUUCAUUGCUCUUCUCGUCGUUUUGGUUGUUCCGUUUCUCUGUCUUUAGGGGCUCACCAUCUCUCUUUUUCCCUUUUUUUUUAUCGCUGGGCGAGCAAUGCUUAACACGGGCAAGUCCAUGACGUUGAAUUCACACUACCCGUCCAGUGGCUCUGCGGCGGGCAUGCCGGCGCCAGGGCUCGCAGUGAGCGCUACUGGACAGUCAGGCCACGGGGACAUGGCUUCCUCUCCCUCUAUCUCGGUUGACCAAGCGCCGACCACCCCUGGAAGUGACGCGAUUAACUUCUUCGCGAAAGCACUGUCUUCCUACAAGUCGCACUUUGGGGACUCUGCCUCCGGCGUCGUGGCCAGCAGCGCCAUGCCCGUGUGCUCCGCCCCGGAUACACCCCUCCAGAAGGGAAUCAACAGCGGCUACUCUGCUGGGGGUCCGUCGAGGAUCUCGUUGUCCGGAAGUGUAGGGGCCUCGGCGUCAUCGUGCGGUUUCGCUGGAUCGCCAGCGUUUGCGUCUGGGAACGGCGUCAUCGGCGCUGGUGCUGGCUUACACAGCAACUCGUCGUCCUUCGGUAACAGCCCACAGACGGUGAGCAUCACGCCGCUUGUGAAGUUCGGCUCACCGUCUUCGGCGUGCACCGUGGCGCGGCCGGCUUCGCCCUCCGCUGCUGAUGGGGUAGCCUGUGGCGGCGAGGCCGCCGUUGCCAGCGACAUUGUGAAUGCCCCGGAACCUAUGAGGCCCACAUGUAUCCGUAACUUGGUGGACGGCGUUGGCGCGCCGUUUCAGGCGAUCUACUCGUCUUCGUCGUCGUCGACGUCUUCGGCUCCCAGCCCACUCGCGCAAACGACUUCGUCGCCGCAAUGCGGCGGGAACACCAGCUGCGUCUCCCCCAGCGGCACCUGCUCUCUUCUCUUUGAAGCGGAGGUGAACAUCUCUAGCCCGAACACAGAAACGGCGUCAGCCGCGCAGGCGCUUGACAAGGACGCGCUCGGUGAGACUCACCAGUGCACCUUCAUCUCUCCCCCCGAGAACAAUGCCAAAGCCGGCGAGGGCAGGACGCGCUCGCCCAAGACGCCAAGCCGCGGCGAUCCUUCCAAGUCAUGUGGCUCGGCGCCGUCGGCCAAGUCGAACCUGCAUGCAGAUCACGCGGCGGCACCGCCGAAGAACUCCCCGAACCAUUCGAAGCAGCGACAGCAGCGCGCCGGCGCCGCGUCACGGCGUCAGCAUGUGAGCGGCAGCAACUGCUCCCUCUCCACUGGCCAGCUGGCUGCUGAAAGUCUGCAGAAAGGCGGCAGCAGCCCCACCAGCCAGGGCGAGCUUGUUAGCGUCUACGAUUCAGAUUUCGAGACAUUGCUAUCUAUUCCAGCGUCGCAGGUGCUGCACCGCCCAAACCCGGCUCUGGGCGUGUCGCGGCUCGUGCUGUGCCGCAAGUUCAAUCUUGAGAACCCCCAAAGCUGCUCGAAGGGCGACAUGUGCAAGUUCGUGCACGCCGAUAUCCGCAAAGCGUCGCGGUGCAGCAUCCACGUCAACUAUGCAUGGCGCAGCCUCGCCCUGUGCACGUAUCCGCGACUGCCGGCCGGUGAUGAGGUCACCGUCCUAGCGCCGAACGAGCGAUCGCCGUCGGAGGUGAUUCCCAGCGAGCGCAUUCUUGUCACGCGCGGCAGCACCAACUGGCGGGAGCACACCGCGCCGCUCUCGCACUGCGCGCACUACUACUUCAACCGCAUGUGCAACCGCGGCAAGCGCUGCAAUUUCAUCCACUCCGUGCACGUGGACCCGAACGUGCAAGGCGACUUCAAGCAUGCGCCUGCGCCAAGGGCCGUGGCGCCGAUUGCGCCCAAGCCAUCAAACUCGGCGGCCUCGCGCGCUGCAAGCGGAGCGCAGGCUACAUCAAACGAUUGGCACCACCAGUCCAGCGCUCACCACGGCGGCGCCGCAGCACGGACGGCGCCUUCGGCGAAGCAGCCGCAACCGCUGCCGCCGGCGCAGCAGAACAGCGCCAACAACGUCGCCAACGCGGGCGGUGGAAUCGCCUACGCCUUCGCGCCGAGUAUAUUUGCCCUGCCGCCGCACGGAUGUAUGGCGUACCCCCUGCUGAACACCACAUCAUCGCCGACCGCGAUGGGGGUACCGCAGUCGCCGGGUGGCGUAGCAGGGGGCGCACCGUACGUGAUGCUCAUGAACAGCGCCGGCCAGCAGGUGGGCUGCAGCUACGUUUCAGCCACCUUGAUGCCCUCAACCCCGCAGCAGAUGGGCGGCUCCAACGGCGUCUUCUUGAUUGUGCCGACGGCCAACGGGUCUGGUGGGUCAUUGGGUGGCAGCGGCGCUCCUCUCGGCAGCCCCGGAGUCCCUGUCUCCCCUCUGGGUCAGUCUUUCAGCAGUCUGAGCAACGGCCCCGUUAACUGGUGAUUGUAUGGACACUUGGGCCGCAGCUGCGGCUGUAGCGGCGAAAAGCGAAUACAAGAGGGACGAUGUGCUUCUGUGUGCCUUGGGAGCGUGGUUCUCUUCGUUUCUCUCAGUGAUUUUUUUUUUAUAUGUCGACCUCCUCUGUUGUGGCGGCCGUCCCUGUUCUCCUCUCACUGUCAUCCAAAGCCUGUGUAUGUGUGUAUGCAUAUACAUGUAUGUUUAUAUGUGUAUGCAUGUACGUAUAUAUAUAUUUAUAUGUAUAUACAUAUAUACAUAAAUAUAUAUAUAUAUAUAUAUAUAUAUAGGGAUAUUCCACUGAAGCUUUUGUGUGCACGUGUACGGGUGGUGCUCUUUUUUUCUGCGUGUUCACGUCUUCAUGCCUUGUAGUUCUUUGUUCUUUUCUAUACCUCUGAAGGGAAGUGUGUUGGUACGUUCUGUUCUCCCUCUGUUGCUUUUCUUUUUGCCCGCCCUUUCUUCCUUCCUCCCUCUCUCCUCCCUCCUCCUUCCUCGGCUUAUCGGUAGUAGUCGUUGUUUCGUGUGCGGUUGUUGCUCUUUUCAUUUUCGCCUUUGAUUUUUCGCUGUUUCUGUCUGUGUCGUGUUUUCGCGUUGCGAUUUUUUUUCAUGUUCGUUAUCAUUUAGAGGUGCCUCUGUUGAAACGACGCAGGGAUGCGUAGGGAGGUGGAGAUGUGCACAUUCGUCGGUGCCGGUGUGUGUGUGUGCUCCCUCUCUGCCGCUGCCUCUGCAUCUUGCUGUGCUUUCUGUUAGGCUUCACUUAAUCUUACGCAUGUGUCCUUUUCCUUUUUCCCAUGUUGUGUCCCUCGAUGGAUGUGCAUGCUUGAAUUCAUUGAUGGGUGCGGUGCCGGCUGCGAUUAUCAACGAAAAGAAAGGAAAAACAACAAACAAUGUUGACCUCCUUGUCUUCCUCCUGCAUCAAUAUUUUGCGCUCAACGCGCCUCUCCGUCUUUGCCUUCUCUAGUACUGCUGCUGCUGCUGCUCUCACCGUCGCCUCGGUACAGCGGGACAUCAGUCGGCAGCUGAGGAUGCACCCACACGCACACGUACCCACCGACGCACAUACACACACGCGGAAAAACAGCACCCAAAGAAAGGACCAACAAAAAACGACGGGCAAAAACAGUACAGCUGAACAACAACAACCCUUAAAAAAACGCUAACAGGUCAAACCAAGUAAAAAACAAACCAAACACGGACACACACACACACACACACACACACAAAGUAGCUCAUCUAAAAUUCAAAUUUUUUCUCUGUGUUUCUCAAGUGUAUGUGUGGAGGAAGGGGAGGGGGAAUGUUUUUUUUUUCUAAUUCUUUUUUUUCGCGUGUGCAUUUGUGCCCGUGCGUUUAGACCUUUCACGGUUGUUGAUUUUGUUCUGCAAGUCAUCUUGUUUUUUUUUCCCCUUUAUCUUUCGUGCACCCGUGAUGAAGGGGGUGGGGAGGAGACCGCGGUACGUGGUUUCUUAAGGUGCACUGCCCGCUCUGUGUGCACGAAAGCCAAGCAGCCUCCCCCUAUCCCCUGCCAAUGCCGAACCACCUCUGGUGGUGCCACGGCUAAGCGCCUGCGACGUCGGGGAGUCAAAGCGCUUCAUCGCUGUUGAUGUCGGCGGUGAUGUCCUGGAUGGCACCGUGCCGGAGCGACCUGCGACGGUGAGCACGCUUGUGCCAUCCAUGUGCCGGCGACGUGUCGGCGUCGCUCGAACGCGUAUCCCACCCCCGGCCCACGCACUGCCUUACUGGCGUGAGGGGCCUGAGUGCCACCCCGAGGGGGAUGUACACCAGGUGUGGUGACCGGCAUGAUGGGGGAGCCGCUGUGAGGCGACCUGCGGAGCCGAGUGUGGGUAGAGCUCGAGGCCGAGGCCGAGGCCGAGGCCGUGCUCAGGUGGCUGAGUGGACGCAGUGCUGUAAGGCGCGUGCCCCCAGGGCUGCUUGGCACGACGCGAGGGUGCCUGUGACGGGCCAAGAGGCUGGGGGUAGAGUGGAGUUUGACGCAUAUGGCAGCGAAACGGGUACGCUGACGAAACAGAACCUAAAUCUCAAUGUAUAUGCUACGCGCCAAGCUUGUUCUUCGUUUAGUGAUUCUCAUCCUUCGUGUUCUCAGCCUCCCUCUUUUUGUUUUGUCUUGUCGUCUUCCAUUGUUUUUUUUUUCGUUUUUUUUUUCACUGUUGGCUUCUUUUUUAAUGUGUCGUUCUUUUCACUGUGCCAUACCCCCCCCCCCCCCCCCUCAUUAAAGGCACCGUCGUCUGUGACGGGAAGAAGGACGGAAGAAGAAGUAGCUAAUUCGACGCACACACACACACACACAUUAGGGAUGGAAUAAAAAAAUGUGAAUGAUGGUGAUGCACGCUUGCGUGCGUGUGCUCCCGCAUUCGGCGCUGUUGUGUAUCACCGCUCUGUGUGUAGCUUUUCUUGUUCUCUGUUCGAUCUUGCACUUUGCUGAGCUGCUUUUCCUUGAUUGCUUGGCCUUGCCAGAUUUUUUUUUUUGUGCUUUCCCUUCUCUGUGCAGCGCAACCAAGCGCGUAUGGAUCUACGGGUUUGUGGGAGUGCGCGCUUAGAGGCAGAAUGACGGAGGUGCGCACUCCUCGCCCCCUGCCAUACCCAAAUGGGCAACGUGCUUCUGCAUCGAUCAGAUCGCGCACAUUUGUCUUUCUCUUAGCGUGCACUUCCCCAGGUACCUUCCUGUCUCACACCUCUGUCCCCGCGUAUCCCUACUAUCCCACCCUCUCUCUACAUCGCUUUAUGUUUUACUUUUUUUUUUGGCGACCCUCUCUGACCUCUUCUCUCAAACGGCACAGGCUAACAUGG
rnacentral:misc_RNA from 1 species